UCAUGGAAGUCAUUUGUAGCCGAAGCCGGCGCGCCAACUAGCAAUAGAGGCAGCCGCCUACGCUAUGAGCGGUAACUGGGAUG
rnacentral:rRNA from 1 species